UGACAGCAACAGACCCCUCUGCCCAGGCCGGCCUCACACGGGGCUAAAGACACCCACGGCUCCUGCCAGCAGGGUCCACACAGGCCACCUCGCUGCCCGUCCUCUCCCUCAGCCCCUCCUUAAGCACUCCUGCAGGCUCUCCCAGCUGCUGCCAGCACAUCCCGGGUGAGGCUUGCCCGGACCCACAGGCAACCUGGGCCCCUGCCAAGCCAGAAUCCACUCUCAGCUGUGCCUUUCUCGGCCCUGAGCAAAGCAGAUCAGUGGAGUCAGAGGCACCUUUGGGGCAGACAGGGGAAGAGGAGUGCAUUCAUUGGGGAAAGGUUGGGAGCUACCCAGCCGUAGGCUGGCAAAUCAGCUCCUGGCCGGGGGCACCCUGACUUACAGGCUUUGCCUGAUUUCUGUGGUGUAAAUUCUCCCCUUGUGCCCAGUUUCAAGCUACUAAUGUGUCGUGGACCGUAACUGGGGAGCAACACAGAGUCAGCUGGCCACGAUGCCAGUCACUGCUGAGCUGCCAAACCUUACGCGUCCCAGGGGGCACCUGCCUAGAGGCCAGGCACUGCACUGGACCCUCAGACACAGCUUGUGCAGCCUGCUUAGGAGCUUGGGAAAUGACUGUCAUCUGUGAUCUUGCUGGUCCCAGGAAGCCCAUUUUACAGAUGAGGAAACUGAGGCCCAAAGGCACGAAGCGACCUCUCUCAGCCUCACCAAGAGCACUGGAAGGUGGUGUAGGGCUGCGGCCGUGCGCACAGAGAGCACAGCAGCAGGAAGGCUCCUGGGCCUCCAGCUCCCCUCCCUCAGAAGCCUCCCAGAGUGACAGGAAGGUCAGAGGCCCCGGGGAGGGGGCGGGGCCAGGAUCUGGCAAUUUCCUAUCCCUCUCUGUUGGCUCUGUGCAUCUAAUUACUCCUUGAGUCAUCUGUUGCUAACCAGGAGGGGAAAUUAAAUAUUAAUAAUGUAAUACUUCUCUGUGAUUACCCCUUGUUGGGGACAGAUCAGAGGGCAGAUGCUGCCCCAUACAGACAGGGGACACAUGCUGCGGAAUGUGCAUAAUGCCUCUUGAAAGAACCACCUUAUAGGAUUCCACGCGGUCAGACUCAAAACUGCUGCUGCUUCCUGCCUUCCUCCUCACCUCCCCCAACCUGGCCACUUUAAUUAAAACUCCAUUUAAUC
rnacentral:lncRNA from 10 species